GAUUCUCUUGAUUAUUUUGCUUGUUCAUUAGAUCUUUUCUUCCAUUUUUUUCCUGCUCCUUGCCCAGGAAGGUAUAUCUCUACACACUGCUUCAAACCAGCUCCUUCCCCCUCUAGAUUUUAGGUGGGUCCAGUUAAUUGGAGAUGCUGGCAGGAAAUUGUUCUCUCUCUUUUUUUUUUUUUUUAGCAAUACAGUAUUUUAAAUUAAAGUUAACUGCAUUGUAUUUUAGACAGUGUUAUUACAUGCUUAAUGGACUAAAAUAUAGUGUAACUUUUACAUGCACUGGGGAACCCAAAAAAUGUGUGACUUACUUCAUUUUUUAAUAAUUUCAACUUUUAUUAUAGAUUAAAGGGUAUAUGUGCAGGUUUGUAGGUAUAUUGUGUGACACUGAAGUUUGGGAUACAAAUGAUCCUAUCCCCCACGUAGUGAGCAUAAUACCCAAUGGAUGUUUUUCCUUACUUGCAAGCGGGAGCUAAACAUGCAUACACAUAAAUAUAAAGAUGGAAACAAGAGACACUGGGGAUUUCUAGACAGAGGAGGGAGAGGAGGAGGGAGAUUGCUGUUUGAAUGGAAAAAGUAGCCAGAGUAUUUUCCCCUUUUAUCUUCCUGCUAGGCCUUGGCAGUAGCUAUGAAAUUGUUGUUUGAAUAGAAAAAGUAGCCCAAGUAUUCUCCCCUUUUAUCUUCCUGCUAGGUCUUGGCAGUAGGUAUAUCCUUCUCCUUAUAAUUUCAGAUGUUGUUGAGUGACCCUUCUGCUGUGAUCAUAGCUCUUACUUCUUAUCAUGUUCUGGUAUUAUGUGUCUUUUUUUUUUUUUAUUUGUCAUGUCAAGCAAAGGAGAGGUAAUGACUUUCUAUUCUUGCUGGAUCUGGGUGCUUCAUCAUGUCCUCUUUGGUUCCUUUCACCUUGACCUCACCUCUGCAAUAAUUCUUUUGUUCCAUUCGUUACAUUAAAAACAUUAUCCCCUUGAGUGCGUCAUCUGCUUCUUCAGUUCUGCAGGCUUAACAGGACUCAUGACUGGGAGGCCUCAGGAGACUUAUAAUCAUGGCGGAAGGCAAAGGAAGCAAGCACCUUCUUCACAUGGUGGGAGGAGACAGAGAGAGACU
rnacentral:lncRNA from 10 species